rnacentral:rRNA from 1 species
GGCCCAGACUCCUACGGGAGGCAGCAGUGAGGAAUAUUGGUCAAUGGGCGGAAGCCUGAACCAGCCAAGUCGCGUGAGGGAAGAAGGCCCUGCGGGUCGCAGACCUCUUUGGACGGGGAGCAAGGCCGCCGACGUGUCGGCGGAAGGAGAGUACCCGUAGAACAAGCAUCGGCUAACUACGUGCCAGCAGCCGCGGUAAUACGUAGGGAGCGAGCGUUAUCCGGAAUUAUUGGGCGUAAAGGGUGCGUAGAUGGCAUAGUAAGUCUUUUGUAAAAAUGCUGGGCUCAACCCAGUAGGGCAAAAGAUACUGCAAAGCUAGAGUAUGACAGAGGCAAGUGGAACUACAUGUGUAGCGGUAAAAUGCGUAAAUAUAUGUAAGAACACCAGUGGCGAAGGCGGCUUGCUGGGUCGAUACUGACAUUGAGGCACGAAAGCGUGGGGAGCAAACAGGAUUAGAUACCCCAGUAG